GACGAACGCUGGCGGCGUGCCUAAUACAUGCAAGUAGGACGCAGUUGCGAACGGGUGAGUAAAGCGUAGGUAACUACCUAUUAGAGGGGGAUAACUAUGGGAAACGACAGCUAAUACCGCAUACUAGUAGAUGGUCCUGCGUUGUAUUAGCUAGUAGGUAGGGUAAUUUCCUACCUAGGCAACGAUACAUAGCCGACCUCUGGUGGUGAUCGGCAACUCUGAUACUGAGCCACGGGCCAUACUCUUAGGGGAGGCAGCAGUGGGGAGUAUUGCCUAAUGGGCGCAAGCCUGAUGCAGCCAUGCCGCGUGUGUGAAGAAGGCCUUCGGGUUGUAAAGCACUUGCAGCGAGGAGCGUUACUCGCAGAAGAAGCACCGGCUAACUCCGUGCCAGCAGCCGCGUAAUAC
rnacentral:rRNA from 1 species